rnacentral:rRNA from 1 species
UACGAAGGGGGCUAGCGUUGCUCGGAAUCACUGGGCGUAAAGGGUGCGUAGGCGGGUCUUUAAGUCAGGGGUGAAAUCCUGGAGCUCAACUCCAGAACUGCCUUUGAUACUGAAGAUCUUGAGUUCGGGAGAGGUGAGUGGAACUGCGAGUGUAGAGGUGAAAUUCGUAGAUAUUCGCAAGAACACCAGUGGCGAAGGCGGCUCACUGGCCCGAUACUGACGCUGAGGAGCGAAAGCAUGGGUAGCGAACAGG